AGUUCUGUUUAUUAUCCAACCAUAAUUACAUCUUCAAAAAUGCUUCCUUAGACACGAAGCUCCCUUCUGCUCCCUUCGAAUGCAGGAAGUAACAAGGUGCUGCUGCUCCUUUUCAUAGAAGAACUGAUUAAUCGUCUACAGAAGCUUCCCACUAAAAUAUAUAUUUAUUUUAAACACCUUUACAGAACCUCCAAACAAGCAGAGGGCAGGGGAAAGCAGCUUGUAAAAGCCAAAAAAAGAGGCAUAAGCAGAUGGAGCUAAAAUCUUCCUGUAUUGACAGUGCUGGUGCUCACCCACCUGUAAUGCUCUGGUCACUGUUCCUUGUGUGGGGGCUUCUUCAAAGCCUUUGUGAUAAGACUAAAAGAUCACAAUAAUCAAUUGCUAUUGGGAAAGAACAUCUUGAACUGAAGUUUUGGGGGCGAUUUAAGAGUUGCCAUAUUCUGCCUCCCUCUGCUCUGCAAUCCUAACCUCUUCUCCACAGGCGCUCCAUCAUGCUGCAGUAACCUGCCGUGUAAGAUGGUUAAUGUGAAUACAAGUGUCUGCACUGUACCUGCUCACACUGCUGCGCCUCUGGUUUGUUCCAAUCUGCCAGGGCUCCACAAAAGAUUCUCUGUUUUCUUCAACUCUAGCACAAGGGAAGACUUACAGGAGCGCUGCCCUGACACAAAACCCAGUGGUACAGGACAGCUGGGGGGAAAAAGCCAUAUUUGAGAUAAGCAGGCAGUUUUGGCAAUCAAAACAGAGGAGAAAGUGAAGGGUUCCUACUCUCUUAGUGUUCUCCAGGGAGCAGGAUAGCACUUUAGUUCCUUGUUGCACUCUAAAGAUGCAUUAAUGUCAUUUUGGAUAAUAGCAGCUAACCACAAAGCACAACUGAAGGAUGUUAAUGUAUCCAGAGUCGUGGUCAUGCUGCUUUUACAUUGUUGCUACAGAGGAGCUGCCAUCACUAACGCUCCUCUGCUGGAUUUGUUAAUUGUGGAGUGACACAAGGCAACAGCACAGAGCUAAAAGCAGAAAAUCCACGCUGGGUGGCUUAACCAGCAAACACUCAUCCCCAAAGCUCCAGUUUCAGAAGUCCCACAGCCAUGGCAGCUUUGUGUACGCCUCAGUACGCAGGGGGGAGGAUGAGAAAAACUACUUAACCCAAUACUUGAUGCAAAGUAUCAUGGUUCCACCUUUAGUUCCCAAAAGCAGUUGGCUUAGGACCUGUACCAAGCUCUGGAUAAAUCCCAGAGGCAACAAACUGACAGUAGCAAAGAAGAGGAAGGCUGAGAUUGUGCUAUUCAAGGGUAAAAACAUUUUGAAAGCAUCUCUAGUGCCACGUGGGCAUUAAAAUUCCCUGCUCUGCUCACCAAGGGGCUGCUUUGCUGCCUUGCAGCUCCAGUAAACAACUUCUCCUAAACUGCAACUGUCAGGAGGGUGUAACUAAACCAUUCAGAGCAUGGCUGCUCAUAUUAAAACAAUUUACAUUCAGCACUGAGGCUGACCUAUCAUCUUUGCUGCAAAGCCUUCUUCAUUUUUUCCCCUGCAAACCAAUCUUACACCCCAUGCUGGGCAAUACAAACUUCAAGGCAGAACUCCAAACCCAUGGGCAGAGCUUUCCUGAGGCUCAUUUACCCUGUUUCUCAGCACAAUGAGGCAUUUGGCAGACUUUCCUGCUAGCUGCUUCCCCAACAGCCAGCCUUGAGCACCCGCCUUGCCAUGGGCCAGCUCUGCAACCUAAUGCUAAGCAUUAGCUGCCACAGAGAAGCUUAAGCUUCAGGGUAAGCCAGGCUGUGCUAGUCCUGAGCCUGGCUUCCUGCUCUGCACUUGCCCUGGUGAGGUGCUACCUUCACCUCUGAGCAUUAUUACCACUGACCUUACUACAGCCUCUGUAGGGCUUCCUCCAUGCUUACAAGUUCAGCCACUGGAAGGGUUUGAUCUCUUCGGGGUUCAGGAUCCUAAGUCUCUACUGCUGGCUUUUCUAAACAUACUGGGUACCUCAGCAUCCUUCUGGAGGACUUACACCAAACCCCUGAAGACUGCCAACCCUGCGGAGAGAUGGAUCUCCAUCCUCCAGCCUCUCGCAGUAAGCUGUGACCACAGUAACAGUAGCUACACAGAAACCUCUUCCGGUUGCUGCAACUACCCCUUGGGACAAGGCAGAGACCACAUGCUAAAAUCAUCAACAGAAACUGCUGUAUUUAGACUGACUGACAGGGGUGAGGCCCCUGAGGAUCAGGGCGAGGGCAGGUCCCUUUCCCACAUCAGCAGGCAGCUG
rnacentral:lncRNA from 1 species